rnacentral:rRNA from 1 species
UACGUAGGGGGCUAGCGUUGUCCGGAAUCAUUGGGCGUAAAGCGCGUGUAGGCGGUUCUGUAAGUCCGCUCUGGAAGCCCAGGGCUCAACCCUGGGAGGCGGGUGGAUACUACAGAACUGGAGUACGGAAGAGGAGAUUGGAAUUCCUGGUGUAGCGGUGAAAUGCGCAGAUAUCAGGAGGAACACCAACAGCGAAGGCAGAUCUCUGGGACGUUACUGACGCUGAGACGCGAAAGCGUGGGGAGCGAACAGG